GGUGCCUCCCGAGGAAGAGGAAAGAGUGUGGGGAAGCAGUGAGGACUGGAGUUCAGCUCUGCACGAAGUUUCCUGAUAUGUCAGAACUUUUUUCCCCUUGGAAAAUGGCAGACUGCUGAGAGCAAGGAGUAAGAAUGAAAGACUUGGCAAUGUGGUUAUAGCCCUGGUUGUCCAGUGAGUCUUCAGAGGAAUGAGGCCUGGCAAACGCUGCCUGGUGCAGCUGGAAGAUAGCAGCAAGGAGAGAAACCAAACCCUGCUGACUGGGGCUGAGUGAGAGAUCAGAGGCUGCUUUUUCUUCAGGAAAAUUCUCCUUUGAAAGUCUGGUGUCUUGAUCAGCCCAUUUGCUGUUACCUGUCCACAAAUGGCUCUCAGAUGAGAUCUACUUCAGCUCCUGAAAGUGAUGCGGCAUUAACAGCAGCUGGUUCUGAAGAAAACACACUGAUGAAGUCCUUCAGCAUCUAUAGCACCCAGUUCACUUUGGUCUUGCUGUAAAUUUUCCUAGAUCCUGCUCUUUUACUGGAGACUGAGAAGGCCUCUCCAGGCUGGAAUCUGGCAGGAAAACAUCCACCAGUACGCUAACAGCAAUAUUGGACCAGACUGUACUUCAGGAAGUCCUCUGGGAGAGAUGAUCAAGGAAGCACAGCUGGGCAACUGCAGAUGCAAAAGAUAACCGAGGCUAAAGCCACCAAUAAACUGCAGAAUCCUACCACAAAUUAUAUCAGCACAUGAAUUUAAUUUCUAGAUUGUUCAUUAAUAUCAUUUGGAUAUGUACAUGCUCCUCCUGGGUGUUUGCCACAGUCUCUAAACUGGUACAUAAGGAACUACUUUGGUAGUGAGUUACAAAAAUGUUUAUUGCUCUAUUAGAGGAAGAAAUAUCAGAAGUAGAGGAGUAAUAUGGGUAACAGGCAGAAAUAGAGAAGCUAUUCCAAAGGAUAUGGUAAUUGGAACAGUCAGUGAGGUUAUCACUGGCUGGUGCAUAUUCUGGCUGUGGGCGGUGUUGCAGCAUUGUCUGGACUCGGUUCCUUUCCUUGUCCUUACCCGCGUUGUGCCAGCCCUGCUCAACCCUAAAUCAGUCUGGAUGGAAAUUCAAGUAUUCAUUUUCAAUAA